rnacentral:rRNA from 1 species
UUCCUACGGGGGCGCAGCAGUGAGGAAUAUUGGUCAAUGGACGCAAGUCUGAACCAGCCAUGCCGCGUGCAGGAUGACGGCUCUAUGAGUUGUAAACUGCUUUUGUACGAGGGUAAACCCCGAUACGUGUAUCGGGUUGAAAGUAUCGUACGAAUAAGGAUCGGCUAACUCCGUGCCAGCAGCCGCGGUAAUACGGAGGAUCCGAGCGUUAUCCGGAUUUAUUGGGUUUAAAGGGUGCGUAGGCGGCGCUUCAGGUCAGCGGUGAAAUACCGGGGCUCAACCCCGGGGCUGCCGUUGAAACCGGG